AACGAACGCUGGCGGCGUGCCUAACACAUGCAAGUCGAGCGAGAAAAGGGGGGCAACUCCCUGAGUACAGCGGCGCACGGGUGAGUAACACGUAGGUAACCUUCCCUCGAGCCUGGGAUAACCUACCGAAAGGUGGGCUAAUACCGGAUAUGACCACGGGAGUUUCGGCUUCUGCGGUGAAAGACGGCCUAUGCUUGCAAGCUCUUACUCGAGGACGGGCCUGGGUGCCAUUAGCUAGUUGGUGGGGUAACGGCCCACCAAGGCGAUGAUGGCUAGCUGGUCUUAGAGGAUGGCCAGCCACACUGGGACUGAAACACGGCCCAGACUCCUACGGGAGGCAGCAGUGGGGGAUAUUGCGCAAUGGGCGAAAGCCUGACGCAGCGACGCCGCGUGGGUGAUGAAGGCCUUCGGGUCGUAAAGCCCUGUCGAAGGGGAAGAACCGGCACUGACCUAAUAAGUCAGUGCUCUGACGGUACCCCUAAAGGAAGCACCGGCUAACUCCGUGCCAGCCGCCGCGGUAAAAC
rnacentral:rRNA from 1 species